AGAAUCAACGCUGGCGGCGUGCCUAACACAUGCAAGUCGAACGAGAAAGGGGAGCAAUCCCUGAGUACAGUGGCGACCGGGUGAGUAACACGUGACUAACCUACCCUCGAGUGUGGAAUAACAUCGGGAAACCGAUGCUAAUACCGCAUAACAUCGCAAGAUCAAAGGAGUAAUCCGCUUGAGGAGGGGGUCGCGGCUGAUUAGCUAGUUGGCGGGGUAAUGGCCCACCAAGGCGAAGAUCGGUAUCCGGCCUGAGAGGGGCGCGACGGACGACGACUGGAACUGAAACACGGUCCAGACUCCUACGGGAGGCAGCAGUGGGGAAUUUUGCGCAAUGGGGGAAACCCUGACGCAGCAACGCCGCGUGGAGGAUGAAGCCCCUUGGGGCGUAAACUCCUUUCGACCAAGACGAUAAUGACGGUACUGGUGGAAGAAGCACCGGCUAACUCUGUGCCAGCAGCCGC
rnacentral:rRNA from 1 species